GCCUGGCUGGCUCAGUCAGUGGAGCACGAGACCCUUGAUCUCUGGAUUGUGAGUUCGAGUCCCAUGCUGGAUA
rnacentral:tRNA from 1 species